rnacentral:rRNA from 1 species
AGCUUGCUUUCUUUGCUGGCGACCGGCGCACGGGUGAGUAACACGUAUCCAACCUGCCCUUUACUCGGGGAUAGCCUUUCGAAAGAAAGAUUAAUACCCGAUAGCAUAAUGAUUCCGCAUGGUUUCAUUAUUAAAGGAUUCCGGUAAAGGAUGGGGAUGCGUUCCAUUAGGUUGUUGGUGGGGUAACGGCCCACCAAGCCUUCGAUGGAUAGGGGUUCUGAGAGGAAGGUCCCCCACAUUGGAACUGAGACACGGUCCAAACUCCUACGGGAGGCAGCAGUGAGGAAUAUUGGUCAAUGGGCGCUAGCCUGAACCAGCCAAGUAGCGUGAAGGAUGAAGGCUCUAUGGGUCGUAAACUUCUUUUAUAUAAGAAUAAAGUGCAGUAUGUAUACUGUUUUGUAUGUAUUAUAUGAAUAAGGAUCGGCUAACUCCGUGCCAGCAGCCGCGGUAAUACGGAGGAUCCGAGCGUUAUCCGGAUUUAUUGGGUUUAAAGGGAGCGUAGGUGGACUGGUAAGUCAGUUGUGAAAGUUUGCGGCUCAACCGUAAAAUUGCAGUUGAUACUGUCAGUCUUGAGUACAGUAGAGGUGGGCGGAAUUCGUGGUGUAGCGGUGAAAUGCUUAGAUAUCACGAAGAACU